ensembl:snoRNA
CCCUCCUACAAAGGCGUGUCUUUGGUUCCCAGUCUUUGGAGGAAAAGAAAUGUGGAUUUGGAGAAGUGUGGGGCCAGCUUGCUCCUCCAGGACUCCAAACAAUCAUUCCACAUAG